AAUGCACCAAUUUGUAAGUCGCUCUGGGUAAGAGUGUCUGCUAAAUGACGUAAA
rfam:Salmo salar isolate Sally breed double haploid chromosome ssa09, whole genome shotgun sequence.